rnacentral:rRNA from 1 species
GACGAACGCUGGCGGCGUGCUUAACACAUGCCAGUCGAACGCUGAAGCUCAGCUUUUGUUGGGUGGAUGAGUGGCGAACGGGUGAGUAACACGUGAGUAACCUGCCCCCUUCUUUGGGGUAACGCCCGGAAACGGGUGCUAAUACUGGAUAUUCACUGGUCUUCGCAUGGGGGUUGGUGGAAAGGGUUUUUCUGGUGGGGGAUGGGCUCGCGGCCUAUCAGCUUGUUGGUGGGGUGAUGGCCUACCAAGGCUUUGACGGGUAGCCGGCCUGAGAGGGUGACCGGUCACAUUGGGACUGAGAUACGGCCCAGACUCCUACGGGAGGCAGCAGUGGGGAAUAUUGCACAAUGGGCGCAAGCCUGAUGCAGCGACGCCGCGUGAGGGAUGGAGGCCUUCGGGUUGUGAACCUCUUUCGCUCAUGGUCAAGCCGCAACAAUGGUUGUGGUGAGGGUAGUGGGUAAAGAAGCGCCGGCUAACUACGUG